GAGGGUGUAGCUCAGUGGUAAAGCGGGUGUUUAGCAUGCACAAGGUCUUGGGUUCAAUCCCCAGUACUCCA
rnacentral:tRNA from 1 species